CUUGCGCUUAUUGCAAUAAGCGCUGCGCACCACGCCUUGUCCUACGCCUUUUUAGGCGAUGACAAAGCGCGGUGACGGUAUUGAGAUACAGUCUGGACCAAAGUGGGGGACCUUAGGGCCUCACGCCAUCGGAUGAACCCAGAUGGGAUUAGCUAGUAGGUGGGGUAACGGCUCACCUAGGCGACGAUCCCUAGCUGGUCUGAGAGGAUGACCAGCCACACUGGAACUGAGAAACGGUCCAG
rnacentral:rRNA from 1 species